AGCGAACGCUGGCGGCAGGCCUAACACAUGCAAGUCGAACGAACUCUUCGGAGUUAGUGGCGGACGGGUGAGUAACACGUGGGAACGUGCCUUUAGGUUCGGAAUAACUCAGGGAAACUUGUGCUAAUACCGAAUGUGCCCUUCGGGGGAAAGAUUUAUCGCCUUUAGAGCGGCCCGCGUCUGAUUAGCUAGUUGGUGAGGUAAAGGCUCACCAAGGCGACGAUCAGUAGCUGGUCUGAGAGGAUGAUCAGCCACAUUGGGACUGAGACACGGCCCAAACUCCUACGGGAGGCAGCAGUGGGGAAUCCUGCGCAAUGGGCGAAAGCCUGACGCAGCCAUGCCGCGUGAAUGAUGAAGGUCUUAGGAUUGUAAAAUUCUUUCACCGGGGACGAUAAUGACGGUACCCGGAGAAGAAGCCCCGGCUAACUUCGUGCCAGCAGCCGCCGUAA
rnacentral:rRNA from 1 species